GAUGAACGCUAGCGGCAGGCUUAACACAUGCAAGUCGAGGGGUAGAAGGAGCUUGCUCCUUUGAGACCGGCGCACGGGUGCGUAACGCGUAUGCAAUCUACCUUUUGCAGAGGAUAGCCCAGAGAAUUUGGAUUAAUACCUCAUAGUAUGUGAGGAUGGCAUCAUUUUCACAUUAAAGUCACAACGGCAAAAGAUGAGCAUGCGUCCCAUUAGCUAGUUGGUAAGGUAACGGCUUACCAAGGCUACGAUGGGUAGGGUCCUGAGAGGGAGAUCCCCCACACUGGUACUGAGACACGGACCAGACUCCUACGGGAGGCAGCAGUGAGGAAUAGUUCGGACAAUGGGCGCAAGCCUGAUCCAGCCAUGCCGCGUGCA
rnacentral:rRNA from 1 species